GACGAACGCUGGCGGCGUGGAUUAGGCAUGCAAGUCGGACGGUAGGGCUUUAUCGUAAGAUAGAGUUUGAGAGUGGCGAACGGGUGAGUAACACGUAGGAAUCUACCCUUAAGACGGGGACAACCCAGGGAAACUUGGGCUAAUACCGGAUGAGAGUGCGAGAGAUUGCAUUUAAAAGGAUGGCGAAAGUUGUCGCUUAGGGAUGAGCCUGCGGUCUAUUAGUUAGUUGGUGAGGUAAGAGCUCACCAAGGCGAUGAUAGAUAGGCGGCCUUAACGGGUGGUCGCCCACACUGGGAUUGAGAUACGGGCCAGACUCCUACGGGAGGCAGCAGUAGGGAAUAUUGGACAAUGGGUGCGAGCCUGAUCCAGCCAUGCCGCGUGCAGGAAGACGGCCUUCUGGGUUGUAAACUGCUUUUGCCAGGGGAUAAAAAGUCCCUGCGGGGAAAAUUGAAGGUACCUGGUGAAUAAGCCACGGCUAACUACGUG
rnacentral:rRNA from 1 species